UGGAAAUCUCGUCCGGCAUCUUUUCCCCUCUUGCAUGGUACAUGCAAGAGGCUGUUUGAAGUCCUGGGGCAAGUCCUGUAAGUACAAUCUCAGUGUUGGGCUAAAUCCUGGGUGCUGGGGUGGGUACUGGGACAAGUCUUGUGAGUGCAAACUCAGUGCUCGGGUAAGUCCUGGUUGCUGUAGCACAUCCUGGUAGUGCUAUCUGUGUGCUCGGGUAAGUUAAUAUAUGCCCCCACUAUAUACAAAGGGUUAUGUCUCAC